AACGGGGGGAACGAGCGAUAUCCUGGCUUAACUGGGCGUUAAAGGGUUCUUAGGCGGUCUUUUUUGCACAAAUGUUGGAAGUAAAGUACUGCUAUUAGCCAGCAAACUGACUUUGAGGAUGAAAGAAGAUUACGGUACUCUCUAAUUUUAGGGGUGACAUCUCAAUCACAUUCGAAGGGGACCAUCAUUAGGUGAUUACGGUUUUCUUGUUUCAUUUUUAUUUUAAACCUUGACGCUGAUCAACGAAAGGUGUGGGGAGCAAAACAGAUUGA
rnacentral:rRNA from 1 species